rnacentral:tRNA from 1 species
GCCUGGGUGGCUCAGUGGGUUAAGCUUCUGACUUCAGCUGAGGUGAUGAUCUCACAGUUUGUGAGUUCGAGCCUCAUGCCAGGCU